UGCCUUUUGUUUUCUUAGAGCUUCCAAGAAAAUAUUGCUCAGAAGCAAUGAAGGCCAACUGUUCUUGGAGAAAGGCAUACGGCAACCAGCAAAUCUAGCAAGGCUGCACAGUCAUUUUGAAAGAGGCUUGGAAAAUCCUAACACUGCUAAAAUUUAUCUUCAUAACUGCUGACAAGAUCUAGUAAAAAGUUGGGGCUGUGCUCAUGCAUUUCAUUGCCUUUCAUAAGCCAAGAUCUUAUUAGCAAAUAAUUUUUUCCGAAGUUCAAAAGCCAAACUGUUGUGCAUGCCUAUUGCUUGUAGCAAAGUUAAUAGCUCUUGUUGACAAAGUGUUUUCAAAGUACUGACAUACAUAAUCAUGUUAUACUUGGGUACAUCAGCCAUUUGUUAAAAAUCUGUCACAUUCAGGCUCACCUGAUCACCGUAUCUGUAUGUGGCAGUCUUCUUGACCGUGGUAGAUGGGAUGAACAAGAGCCUCAACGAGAAAGGCAAGUAACUGUGCUGCAGAGCAGGAGGAGAACCAGUCCAGAGGCUAAACAUCGUAAGCCAAGAAAACCUAAGAUCAGUUCUGCAACAUAUUUCCUUACACAGACUUACAUCAUUAAUUCUCUCUGUGUCUCUGUUCUGUAAAAUUGUACUUUUAUAUGACAGGCUCUGAGAAUAAACACAGUAUGAAGUGGCAUACUGACAAGGAACAUGGAAAUGAGUCUCUGAGUCUCUGAUAACUUCCCAUUACCAAUCAGUCAUUUUUAACACUCAAAAUGAAUGAUCCCAGAGAAAUUACAAUGGAAACUACUCACAAGAGACUGAAAAAUCAACAGAUUCCUGAACUGAAUUCAGUUUCACGAGUAUAUGCUUAGAAGGAUUCAUUUCCCAUGAUGAUACCAUUUGGAAAGCAGUCUUUCAAAAUUAUAAGCAAAGCAAAUCACCAUCUAACAGCAAUGCUAUUUCUCUGCACUGGUCACAGUGACCAAGGAAGCCUUUCAAGUCAUGAAGAACACAACCGGGAUGUCUUGAGAAAAACACCUACAAAAACAGCAUAUCCCAAACCUGAGACUCUUGCAUAUUAUUUUUGCACACUUUUUAAUGGUGCUGAUGUUACACAGCGCAGCUAGCCCCUUCAAAAAUGCUAGGACAGAAUCCAUCCUGAAAUACUGAACUGCAGUAACCUCAACACAGGUGCCAACUUUCCUGAGGACUUCUUUACCCUGAGGAGAAGGCAGACACCGCAGAACUUAGAGUUAACUUACCUAUGACCCUUCUCAUAUGAACUUACUCACUGGACAGCACUGUUUCAUUGGACAAAACCACCCCACAACUCUUCUUCUAAGAUGUAUGUUAAGGGGCCAGCAUCUUUUUAUUUUUUUCAAACACGUCUACCCAGCCAGUCACCUUCCUUUUCUCUUUCUGAGAGUGAUUACUUUGCAGUACAGAUCACUGUGACUUGUUCACCCCCUGUAUUCCUUAGGGCUGUAUGUUCUGCCAGCAUCUGUAACAUGGACUAGUAGAUUCUGAGCAUUUCCUGCCCUGUCACCACUGCUGCCCUCAGGUUUCACAGGGUGCCUCUAUAGUAGUUGGGAUCUGGAGCGUGCUUUUUAUGACAGCCCCUCAGUCUCUCCACAUACAGUGCUGUGCUUGCGUCAAAGAGCAGCCCCACACUGCUACCUAACUCCUCACCAUCCACCCACCAAAAAAAAAAAAAAAAAAAAAAACCAAGAAAGUGAAAAGCAAAAUAACCAACCAAUCAACGAAAAAAAAAACCCAACAAACAGUCUGAUACCUUUCCUCUCAGAUAGCAUCUCUAGUGAACCACAACUUUUGAACUGUUAACAUUAUGGGCUAACCUUUAUCAAAAUUGUUAUUAUUCAGGUCCUUGCUCACCUCACUGUAAUGUGAAACUCACCUCUUCCCUUCCACCACUUUCUACUCCUUCUUUCUCUCUUUUGUAUCUUCUUGUUCUAUUUUACCAUAAUAGUUUCGAAUAAAGUUUGAGCUCAUCACUGCACCAAAUGCAUCUGAAAUAACUCCUCCAUCUUCCACGAUUUCUUUGAUUUUCUGAAAGUGAAUUUUUAUGCAAGUUAUAUCAGAGCGAUCUGGAACUUCAGCAUAUCUUUAAAAAUGUCACUUCCUCUAGUUCAGCCAGAUGCAGCAUGGCUUUUCUCUUUGCAUAGUGUGCCAACUCAGGACCUAAGAAACUGAAUGGAAGGACCUCAGCUGACUGCAACAGGCAGUCCCCUAACUUCAUUUAGUUAAGUCGUUUAAACAACUGAUACUGUUUUAUGUUAAAUUUCAUGACUGUGUGACAUUCAGGGAUAACCACGUAUGUUCUGUGUCUUUGGCAAAUACACUUUUCCUAUUAUGCAAUCUGAAAAAAUACUGGUUUUGUUCUAAUGUAAUUGUAAGAAUCAAAUUUAUAUACAAGACCUUUAGAAAACAGAGACCCACCUCUAAAUGCAAAGAACAAACAUUUGCAUUACCUAUUUAUAUUAAAAUAUGCAGAAAUUUCCAAAGUAUUCAGUCAACUUAUAAAUUUUUAUAACUUCUUCAAAUUGUUAACAUUUUUUUAACACACAGCAUUAUUUCAGCUUUGUGGAAAGCUCAAUAACAAUCUUUCUGGUCUGGAAAAAAGGAAAGAACAUUAUAAUAGAGAAUGCAGAAUAAAUAAAAACAAAACAGUACAAGCCGUACAUCCACACAUACAAAGACAACUUUCAUGGUGAGCUAUAAGCAAUUAUAAUAACACAAUGUGCUGCAUGUUGAUUUCACCAGUGAAAAGAAUUUCUCCAGUUAUUGAAGACUUUCCUGGCAGAAUCUCAGAAAAAAAAUCUGACAUUCUCCCAAUCUGACUUCUGUGCAAUGCAAGUCAUGCACAUUUUAAACACUGAUGAAUAAUGCUGCCUUUCUUCUAUGAACUGUUAACAGCUGUAGAAACUAUUAUAGCCUGCUUAUAACCAUGUCUCUGUAGUCAAUACUCUCCAGACACUUAGCAAUACUAAAGCUAUUCCUGGGGCUAAACUAGAAUUGCAAUGCGAAUACAAAGUUUGAUUUAUGUUGAAAUGCAACAACAAACAUCUGAUCUUUCCUUUUUUAAAUGGUCAUUCAUACAAACACGAGUAUCAGCUGCAUAACUAGAAAGUGAUGUACCGAAUUUCUAGAAAUCAGACAAAGGAAGACCACCCACAGUUACCUUCAAGAACAAUAGUUUUGUCGGAGGCUGGAAGAUUGCUGGUGAAGCUGUGGCUUACGAGUGAUGUUUCAAUCAUCUAAUUUUUUCAGGUCUUCUGAAAUACACCAAUUUGAUCAGCAGCUCAGUACCACACCUUGGCGCUGCUCACCAUCAGCUGCACUCAGGCUGAUCACAGGCUCAGUGGACUCCCUAAUAAAAUGGUCCAGAUGCAUCCGAGAGGAACUUGAGGCCUCUAUCUGCCAACGUCAUUCUUUCACAUCCCAAAGCACAGGGGGGAGCUGGAUGUUUUUGAAAUGAUGACUGGAAAGAGAGAAGAGAAGGCACAUACGGAACAAGAACAAACGUUGAAGUACGUGCAGAAUUGGAGAUCUGACCCAUAGACUGAUGCAUAUCACUAAAAUUUAACAGAAAACCGAUGUGUUGAAAAGCUGGUUUUGAUUUCUCAUUCAAACUGCUAUCCAAGUUCAUUUAUUUUUCAAUGCAUCGUCAUCUUUCAAUUAAUGAAAACACAUAAGUAAAUAUGAUUAGAUUUGUGAACAGUUUGUGAUCUCUG
rnacentral:lncRNA from 1 species